UCGGAGGUUCAAGUCCUCCCAGGCCCACCAAUUUAGGAUUGCUUAACCCACUAAAGACCCUCUCUAUAAAAAUACCUAUCGUUGGAGAAAGCUCUUUAUAGUCUGGCUCUUUUUAUAGUCUAGAAUUGUCAGUAAAAUGUCCGAUAAAAUAUCAAAUAUAUUUUGCAAAAAUACUGACAAUAAUAAAGCUCUUGACAAUAUAAAACUACUGACAGAAUAAAAUUACUGACAGGUUGUCGCUUUAAGGGUUUUGAAGCGUUUUAUUUUAGGGGCCGUAGCUCAG
rnacentral:misc_RNA from 1 species